GCCUGGGGAGUACGGCCGCAAGGUUAAAACUCAAAUGAAUUGACGGGGGCCCGCACAAGCGGUGGAGCAUGUGGUUUAAUUCGAUGCAACGCGAAGAACCUUACCUACUCUUGACAUCCAGAGAAUUUGGCAGAGAUGCUGAAGUGCCUUCGGGAACUCUGAGACAGGUGCUGCAUGGCUGUCGUCAGCUCGUGUUGUGAAAUGUUGGGUUAAGUCCCGCAACGAGCGCAACCCUUAUCCUUUGUUGCCAGCGAUUCGGUCGGGAACUCAAAGGAGACUGCCG
rnacentral:rRNA from 1 species